rnacentral:rRNA from 1 species
UAACGAAUCUUCCGCAAUGGGCGCAAGCCUGACGGAGCAAUGCCGCGUGUGGGAUGAAGCGUCUCUGACGUGUAAACCACUGUCAGGGGUUAGAAACAAUGAUCAACCCCAAAGGAAGUGGCGACUAACUCUGUGCCAGCAGUCGCGGUAAUACAGAGGCCACAAGCGUUAGUCGGAAUCACUGGGCUUAAAGGGUGCGUAGGCUGGUCCGCAAGCGUCUUGUGAAAUCCCCGGGCUCAACCUGGGAAUUGCAUUUGAGACUGCACGGCUAGAGUGUGUCAGAGGGGGGUAGAAUUCCACGUGUAGCAGUGAAAUGCGUAGAUAUGUGGAGGAAUACCGAUGGCGAAGGCAGCCCCCUGGGAUAACACUGACGCUCAUGCACGAAAGCGUGGGGAGCAAACAGGAUUAGAUACCCGGGUAGUCCCUGAGCGGGCUGGCAAGGCGCAU